GUCAGAAAUGGCUGCUAAUACCGCAUAAGCGCACAGCAUCGCAUGAUGCAGUGUGAAAAACUCCGGUGGUGUGAGAUGGACCCGCGUUGGAUUAGCUAGUUGGCAGGGCAGCGGCCUACCAAGGCGACGAUCCAUAGCCGGCCUGAGAGGGUGAACGGCCACAUUGGGACUGAGACACGGCCCAGACUCCUACGGGAGGCAGCAGUGGGGAAUAUUGCACAAUGGGGGAAACCCUGAUGCAGCGACGCCGCGUGAAGGAAGAAGUAUCUCGGUAUGUAAACUUCUAUCAGCAGGGAAGAAAAUGACGGUACCUGACUAAGAAGCCCCGGCUAACUACGUGCCAGCAGCCGCGGUAAUACGUAGGGGGCAAGCGUUAUCCGGAUUUACUGGGUGUAAAGGGAGCGUAGACGGUGUUGCAAGUCUGAUGUGAAAGGCGGGGGCUCAACCCCUGGACUGCAUUGGAAACUGUGAUACUCGAGUGCCGGAGAGGUAAGCGGAAUUCCUAGUGUAGCGGUGAAAUGCGUAGAUAUUAGGAGGAACACCAGUGGCGAAGGCGGCUUACUGGACGGUAACUGACGUUGAGGCUCGAAAGCGUGGGGAGCAAACAGGGGUACAUACCCUGGUAGUCCACGCCGUAAACGAAGGAAUAAUAGGGGGUCGGGGAGCAGAGCUAUUCGGUUGCCGCAGCAAACGCAAUAAGUAUUCCACCUGGGGAGUACGUUCGCAAGAAUGAAAUUCAAAGGAAUUGACGGGGACCCGCACAAGCGGUGGAGCAUGUGGUUUAAUUUCGAAGCAACGCGAAGAACCUUACCAAGUCUUGACAUCCCUCUGACCGCACCUUAACCGGUGCUUUCCUUCGGGACAGAGGAGACAGGUGGUGCAUGGUUGUCGUCAGCUCGUGUCGUGAGAUGUUGGGUUAAGUCCCGCAACGAGCGCAACCCUUAUCCUUAGUAGCCAGCGGUCCGGCCGGGCACUCUGGGGAGACUGCCAGGGAUAACCUGGAGGAAGGUGGGGAUGACGUCAAAUCAUCAUGCCCCUUAUGAUUUGGGCUACACACGUGCUACAAUGGCGUAAACAAAGGGAAGCGAUCACGUGAGUGUAAGCAAAUCUCAAAAAUAACGUCCCAGUUCGGACUGUAGUCUGCAACCCGAAUACACGAAGCUGGAAUCGCUAGUAAUCGCAGGUCAGCAUACUGCGGUGAAUACGUUCCCGGGUCUUGCACAAACCGCCCGUCA
rnacentral:rRNA from 1 species